CCUACGGGAGGCAGCAGUGGGGAAUAUUGGGCAAUGGAGGGAAACUCUGACCCAGCGACGCCGCGUGCGGGAUGAAGGCCUUCGGGUUGUAAACCGCUUUCAGUAGGGAAGAAGCGAAAGUGACGGUACCUACAAAAGAAGCACCGGCUAACUAUGUGCCAGCAGCCGCGGUAAUACAUAGGGUGCAAGCGUUGUCCGGAAUUAUUGGGCGUAAAGAGCUCGUAGGUCGUUUGUUACGUCGGAUGUGAAAACCUGAGGCUCAACCUCAGGCCUGCAUUCGAUACGGGCAAACUAGAGUUCGGUAGGGGAGACUGGAAUUCCUGGUGUAGCGGUGGAAUGCGCAGAUAUCAGGGGGAACACCAAUGGCGAAGGCAGGUCUCUGGGCCAAUACUGACACUGAGGAGCGAAAGUCUGGGGAGCGAACAGGAUUAGAUACCCUGGUAGUCCAGACCGUAAACGGUGGGCACUAGUUGUGGGAACCCUUCCACGGUUUCUGCGACGCAGCUACGCAUAGUCGCCCGCCGUCGGGUAGGUACGAGUCGCGAGAAGUAAACGUAACGAAAGAAAGUUAGACGGUAACGUGAGACGUUGCCGAACGGACGACGACGAGGGAGGAGG
rnacentral:rRNA from 1 species